CCCAAUUCAUAUCAUCAAGUUGUUGCUGUAAUGAGCGACAACAACAACUGCAUCGUAGAGUCAAUGAAUGACGGUGUUUUAUGAUUCUCAAACACAACACCUCCCUGGAUUUCAGGGAUGGUUACUAGGAGGAGUAUCUGGCAUGGAUUUCUUAGUCGAGCCUAAUGGUUUAACUGGCUUUGAUUCUUUGUCAGAGGCUCGAGUAUAGCAGCACCCACCUUGGAUGAAUCCACACUUGAUGUCCUAAAGGGUCAACUCACAAAUUUUGAGAAUAACACUCCCUUCGUCCCAAUUACAUAGGCUGUGUUUCCUUUUCUCUUGUCCCAAAUAUAUAGGCAUGUUUCCUAAUUUAGAAUAUUUUAUUUUGUUAUUUUACUAAUAUGCCCUUAUUCAAUUUUUGUCACUCAAUACGCCAACUUCUUGAAAUCAUUCAAAUACACAUAUUUUUCACUUCUUGAAAACAUGGAACAACUCUCAUUUCUUCUUCUUCAAAUUACACCAUUCAAAUUCUUUACCGAUUCCAACAAUAAUUAACUACUACAUAUUGAAAAUUAAAUAAGGGUAAACUAGGAAAAAUAUUGGCAAAAAUUAAUCAUCCAAUGACAUUAAAGAUGAUUUCUCAAUCCGUGUGAAAAACUAAACAAGCCUAUAUAAUUAGGGCGGAGAGAGUAAUACAAAAGAAAAAAGCAUAUAAUUUAUAAAGCAACAACUAUUAAAUGAUUUCAAAAGAAUCUUAAAAGUCAUUUCGGCAAAGCAUGACUUAUACUGGACACUAACUACAAAGAGGAAGAAAAAAUUAAAAUGUUAAGAUUACAAACUCCAAAAGUUGAGUUUGAUGCCAUCAAAAUUAACGGUUCUAAAUUUGUUGAGGGUAUUUCAAUUUCAUUCUUUCAAUUACUAACAAAUUGAUAAUUAGUGUGAAAUGAAUUAAUGAUUGGAGAGUUCAGAAUCCUAGCAUGAUGUUAAAGUUUGAACAUAUUGUGAUAGCAAUGUAGGAGUUUAAAAAUGUCCACCCUUUUGGUGAAUAACUAAUAUCUAAUGAGAUCAUUUCAAACCCAUGAACCAAUUAAAUAAUCUUAACCCUACUCCUUGAGAGCUAGAAUUUUGAGUUAUCUAUAAAGAAAUAAAGGUGGUCGAGGAGCUUAAGGAGAAUGAAGAACCUUUUAAGAACGGAAACUUUUGUCUUGAAAAAUCUCACGGUAAGCCUUUUUCAAUGAAUCAACUAAAAAAUGACAUUUUACACCAAAAAAAUAAAACGCGGGGGCGGGGGUUUAAUAGUGAACUUUUUUGUACUUCUCUAUGUUGGGGAAGAAGUAGAGGAAGAUAUAGAGGUUGUGACAUAGAUCGUACAAAGGUGAAGAUCAAAGAAAAUAAUGUGGAGAUCUCUAUUAAAAAAAAAAAAAAAAAAAAA
rnacentral:lncRNA from 1 species